rnacentral:rRNA from 1 species
AACGAACGCUGGCGGCAUGCCUAACACAUGCAAGUCGAACGAGAACUUCGGGCCUAGUGGCGCACGGGUGCGUAACGCGGGGGAACCUGCCCUUAGGUUCGGUAUAACUCCCCGAAAGGGGUGCUAAUACCGGUUAAUGUAUUAGGACCAAAGAUCUAUCGCCUUUGGAUGGGCCCGCGUUGGAUUCGCUAGUUGGUAGGGUAAAAGCCUACCAAGGCGACGAUCCAUAGCUGGUCUGAGAGGAUGAUCAGCCACGCUGGGACUGAGGCACGGCCCAGACUCCUACGGGAGGGAGCAGUGGGGAAUAUUGUACGAGGGGCGAAAGCGUGAUCCAGCAGUGCCGCGUGAGUGAUGAAGGCCGUAGGGUUGUAAAGCUCUUUUACCCGGGAUGAUAAUGACAGUACCGGGAGAAUAAGCACCGGCUAACUCCGUG